ensembl:lncRNA
CCCGGACAGAGGCUCGCAAAGCGCCAGGAAGCGACAGAGCAUCAUUUCCAGCUCCGCUGGACGGGACCGGGAAGGAUUUUUAAACGGGAUGCUGCUGAGUUAAUGGGGCGGAGAGCCGGGAGAGCAGCGGGAAGGGCUGAGCAGAAGCGGAGUACGGUCGGGGGGGGCACGGAGCGUUCCCGAGCUGAGGGUACCGCGUGUACAGAGCCGGGCCUGCGGCAAUGCAGAGCCGCUGACUUCCUACUGCCAUCAGGAGGGGCUCUUUUUGCGAACAGAUAAAAGACUGCGAAGAGGAAAUGAAAGGAGAACAGUGAGAAAAAUCUGCUCCAAUCUCCAGAGCGCUCCUCCUUACAAGAAACGUGGUGUCGUGAGUCGGUUCUGAAACAGAAACAUCUUUGAGUUCCAUCCCGUUGUCAUUUUCUGCCGAUAGACUGAUGGGACAGCACCCCCCAGCCCGUGCCAUGGCUUUGGUGCAGCAGCACUGCAGCGUGGAAGGGCCAAUGAUGGCUGCACACUGCCUGCCCUCAGCCCCACAUCCACUGUGCGGAGCUCCCAGCAAAGCCAUCCUGCUGCUGUCCCAGCACAGCCCUACAGCUGGGAUCCCCUUCCCACCACAUCCCUGGAGCUGAGCUGUGCCCAAAGCAGCCUGACAUCAACCCAAGGGACUGAAGCUUCUCUAUUAUUGUCAUUAUAUUUUAUUUUCUUAAAAGAGAGCAGGAAGAGGACAGAAUGUGUUUGCACAGUGGCACCACAGAGCCAUUGCCAGCUGUCUGGCUGGGAGCCAGCUCCUGUUACAGACUCACGCUCGUGUCUCUGCUCUACAUUUACCCAUAGAGAAUCAUAGAUACGAAACAGGACGGUCUAACACGAUGCUUUUAGCUCAGCCCCAUUGCCCUGUCUAAGACCUGGAGACAAAACAGUACAGCCUACUGGGACAGGACGUAUCAUUUAGAAACUAAGUGGGUGUUCAGACAGUUGCGGUGCAAACACGUUGUAACUACACUGUGUAAGCUGUGCCUUGGGUCAAGGCAGAGGUUCCUGGGUUCCAAGCUGGCUCAGCAUCCUCUCACUCCUACA